rnacentral:lncRNA from 1 species
UUUUACACUCUUAGAAAUAGGGAACACUUUAUUUCUGCCACUGGGCAUCUUGAAUAGGGAGAAGCCCUUUAACUCUAAUUUUUUCUUUAUUUUUGUCUUUUGAUAUCAUUUGAAUCUUCUUUUGUGAAACUUGAUGGAAGCCCUCAGAAAGAUAAAUGUAUAAGAAGAAACUGAACUGAGCCUGACCUCUCCACUUAGAUUUUUCUGCAAAUGAAGAGGAAGGAGAGAAGAAUCUUUUGAGAAAGAAUGACUUGAUAGAUAAGUUGCUAAUGGGAGAUUGUUGCAGGGGAAAGAAUGAUUGUCAAGUAGAGUCAUGAUCCUAAAGACCAUAAGGCGAGAAAGAACAAAUGGUCAUUCCUUAUUGUUUCUAGCAAGAGCCUUUCUCUUUUCAUGAACUUCAGGGAUUUUGUGUUCUAAUCACAUUGUUUUUUUCUGUCUCUGCAGUGAUCACUCCAGAUGAUAUGAAGUGUUGGUUGGUGGCUUGGGGACGGCAGUCGCCAGUAGUUAGAGCAAUAGUUAGAGGACCAAUUAUGUGAACUAUUCAGAAAAUCACAAAAACAUUGUGAAAUAUUUAGAUUGAAAACACUACAACAUUUGCUGUGGAGAAACAGGACUUUGUGGAUUUAUGAAUGGAAAUGAGAUAAUCUGGAUUCUUACAAGAUAGCAGAAAGUAUGAGCAAUGGUUUCACAGACCCAGAUUCUAAUGAACCAUGGCAGUGUCACAGUGCAGCAGCAUUUUACAAAUAAAGGGACCUGACACAAAGAAACAAGCCGGAGUCUGCUUUUAUCUAUGGCUUAGCUACCUUUAUGCAGCCUCAUGGGAUUUAUCUUCCACUGAUGGUUCAAUAUGCCAGCCAAAUUCUAGCAAUUAUGCGUUUCCUUCAUAGAAUUCCCGAAGAACGUGGAUUUGGAAGGUAAUUGUUUUCUUUCCCCUGUUAGCUAUUAUGGCCAUUUAUUGAAUCAGCAGUGUGUAAU